ensembl:lncRNA
CGCAGGUGAGAUGGGCGGGCGCGGCCAAUGCCCUGCUCCGCGCACCGAGCGACUUCCGGACGGAGGGCCGGGGGGAGGGGCCGAGCCCUCCGAGAGUCUGCGGCACUGGGGGGGCGGGUCAGGAAAGAGGGCGGGCUCACCCUGAGCCAGGGGGUGGGGCCGGGGCGCCCGGAGGGAUGAGGGGGCGGUCCCGAGAGGGGGCAGUGGCAGGAGAAAGGGGGGCGGGGGGAGAACCACUGCUCGAUGCGCGUCCCGCGAUCGCCAGCAAAGGCUGAUGGGCUUUGUACGCGGAGGGCCCCGGGCCCGGAGAAAGCCUUCGGGAAGCAGUUUCAGAAGCGCCGGUUCCCAGUGACAGGGAAGAAAGAGGGGCCUGGUUCUGGCAAGCGUUUCGGUUUGGGGCGUGAUGGGUUUCAAGUGCGCCCAGUGGGGGAUUGGAGAUCUCAGAGCAGAGAAGCUGGAGCAUCACCCAGGAGGGGGCUGCUCUCCUCAGGCUCCCAGAGCCCCCUCCCCUUAGUCACUGCAGCUGGAGCUGGAGCAUCACCCAGGAGGGGCUGCUCUCCUCAGGCUCCCAGAGCCCCCUCCCCUUAGUCACUGCAGCUGGAGCUGGAGCAUCACCCAGGAGGGGCUGCUCUCCUUAGUCUCCCAGAGCCCCCUCCUCUUAGUCACUGCAGCUGGAGCUGGAGCAUCACCCAGGAGGGGCUGUUCUCCUCAGGCUCCCAGAGCCCCCUCCCCUUAGUCACUGCAGCUGGAGCAUCACCCAGGAGGGGCUGCUCUCCUUAGUCUCCCAGAGCCCCCUCCCCUUAGUCACUGCAGCUGGAGCAUCACCCAGGAGGGGGCUGCUCUCCUUAGUCUCCCAGAGCCCCCUCCUCUUAGUCACUGGAGCAUCACCCAGGAGGGGGCUGCUCUCCUCAGGCUCCCAGAGCCCCCUCCCCUUAGUCACUGAAGCUGGAGUACUCUCCUCUCAGGUACUGAUACUGUUAGGGCCCCAGUUUCUCCCCGUUGCUGCCAGAAUGGAUACAAGAGCCUUAUGACUGAGCCAGCCUUCGUUCACUUGGGAAGCAUUCAUUGAGUCUCUACCAUGUACGAGGUCCAGAUUCAGAAUCUCGGGUGACAGAUGAUGAUGAAGCCACUUGCAAGAAGCCCCAGUUCCGUUGGGGAGACGGCUGGCACACAGAGGAGUUAAUAAAAGUGUUUGCAGCAUAAAUCCGGGAGCACGCCUGAAGGGCGGAGGGAGCCAGACCCUGGGGGUCGGGAAGCCUCAAGCAGCGGGGGAUGGCAGAGGGCAGUGCACGGUAGCACCCAGGCCUGCAGAUGGCAAAGUGUCCCUUGGGCAGGGGGGUAACCCAGGGGCCUUUUGUUGGAACAGGAGAGGGUGUGGCCGGCCGGGGUAGGAGAGAUAAGCUGGCUCCUCCACCCAGGGAUUCCGCAGAUACCACUUGGAUCAAUUCCUUAAGGAGCCCCCAGGGUCCUCUUCUGGCUGUUCAGUUUUCAGGCAUGUUCUCUGCAGGACCCCUCUGGGGUUUAUUUGGGCAGAGACCAGAAGAGCCACUUCCUUCUCCAGUUCACUUUACAGAUGAGGAAACCAAGGGAAAAGCCCGAGUGACUUGCUUGGGAGCUCGCGUAAAGGUCCGGGGCCGGAGGGGAAGUCGGGGGCGCGAGGCCCGUGGUCCCCCUGAGGUCGGGCACGGGCCGGUACUUGGGCUCAGAGCACAGCCGUCCUUGAGGCGCAGCUGGAAGCCUCAGUGGCCGUUAUCCCGGCAGGGCCUGGCCCUGGCCCUACCUCUGCCUCAGUUACGCUUUGAUCUCGGCGGGUGCCGGGGCCCUUGGCAGCAUCUGGACCAGCCUGACACCGGCCCGGAGAGGGGUCCCGGGGUCCCAGCGCCUGUUUAUGCCAGACCUGGAGCGCCACGUGGCAGAGCCGAGACGCUGGGAUUUCCCUUUAUGCUAAGCUGCUCUCUUGGGCAUGUGGCUUCCUAUGGGCGCCUCAGUUUCCUUUCUGUCUGAGACCCCUUCAUACUCUGUGACUGUGGGAAGACCAGGGAACUGAGGGUCCUCCAGGUCGGAGCCCUGCCAGGGGGAGGGGCAGGAGCGGUUUGCUCAGGGGCCUGAGGCAGAGCUGGGGAGCUGAGGGCAGAGGAGGGGCAGCCUCUCCCGCGAGGGCCUCUGACGCCCGUUGCCAGGUAACUCCCCGGGGAGGGAAGUCGCUCGGGAUCUGCAGGAGGAAUUUCUUCACUGAGACUCCCCUGCACCAGGAAGACCCACGGCGGGUCCGCUAUGGGAAGUGGCCGGGGCUGGCGGGAGGUGUGGGAGACACUGCCCCCCGGGGCGGGGCGGCGAGGAGCCGGGACCUGAGGCAGCAGCUCAGAGCUGAGGCCGCCUCUGGGCUCUUCCCUCAGGGGGGCCACCCACUCCAAGGCCGUGCUGCUGACCGGAGACGGCGAGGUGGUGGCCGAGGUGUCCGGGCCGAGCACCAACCAGUGGCUGAUUGGACUGGAGCAGUGCGCAGAAAGGAUCAAUGACAUGGUGACCAAAGCCAAGGAGCAAGCGGGGAUCAGCGUCACUGAGCCGCUCCUCAGCCUGG